rnacentral:sRNA from 1 species
CUGAAAUCAAAUUAAGGUUCGAACAUCCGACGAC